GUGGGGAAUCUUGCGCAAUGGGCGAAAGCCUGACGCAGCCAUGCCGCGUGGAUGAUGAAGGUCUUAGGAUUGUAAAAUCCUUUCACCGGUGAAGAUAAUGACUGUAGCCGGAGAAGAAGCCCCGGCUAACUUCGUGCCAGCAGCCGCGGUAAUACGAAGGGGGCUAGCGUUGCUCGGAAUUACUGGGCGUAAAGGGAGCGUAGGCGGACAUUUAAGUCAGGGGUGAAAUCCCGAGGCUCAACCUCGGAACUGGCUUUGAUACUGGGUGUCUUGAGUGUGAGAGAGGUGAGUGGAACUCCGAGUGUAGAGGUGAAAUUCGUAGAUAUUCGGAAGAACACCAGUGGCGAAGGCGACUCACUGGCUCAUUACUGACGCUGAGGCUCGAAAGCGUGGGGAGCAAACAGGAUUAGAAACCCCAGUAGUCC
rnacentral:rRNA from 1 species